UGAAAUUGCUGAAAGGGAAGCGAAUGGAACCAGCUCAACUUGGCGAGAUUGCUGCGUGUCAAUGUGAUUGCUUGCUGCUUCAACGUAAGUGUGGUAGUAAGUCUUGAGCAGGACAUGCGCGGUGCUUCUUGCCUUGUGUGUCACUGUCAGUUCGCAACUGAGGAAAACUUCAGAGACAUGGUAGCCUGCUCCCGGGUGGGUGAAUGUGUCUGCUGGAACUCAUUUGUGGACUACCUGCUGACUAAAUGGUUCCAUCCGACCCGUCUUGAAACACGGACCAAGGAGUCUAACAUAUGUGCAAGUUCACGGGUGUUAAACCUGCUUGCGUAAUGAAAGUGACUGCUGGGAUCUUUGCACCAGCAACCGACCAAUCAAUUGAGAGAGGUUUGAGUAUGAGCAUAUCUGUUAGGACCCGAAAGA
rnacentral:rRNA from 1 species